GUGGUUUACGUAAGAGGCAGCGCAUUGGGGCCAGGAAGGGACGGAACCAUGGGGCUGGGUUUACACCAGCUAUGCGAAGCCCCUCUGCUCUGCCCCCGCCUGUGAGGGGCUUUCUUGGCUGGGUCUGUUCCUGACAGAAGGGAUGCGUGUUGUCGGGGGUGGGGGGCUUGGCAUGUGUGUGUGUGAGAGAGAGAAUGUGUGUGUGUGUGUGCGUGUGUGUGUGUAAAAUACAGAAAAAAGAAGCAUGGCUUUCCUCAGCUGCAGAGGCGGGCCGGGCUCUGUCCGUGCCAACUCCCUCAGAGCGGGCACCGUGGGGACACAGGAGGCACAGGAAGACUGCAGAGGUGAGGGACGGGUGUAGAGAAAGAUGGACGCUUGCCAUCUCGAGUGCCAGCGGCUGCAUGAGGCCAAACCCCAUGAACAAAACCCACAGCAGAUCGCUGGCAGCCCAUGUUAGGAGGCAGAAGACAGUUGGCAGCGCUGCCACAGAGGACAGCCUGGGAGCAGGCGGAUGUAGGCAAGGCCAGCAUGGAACAGCAUUGGUCUUGCUUCAGCUAUAGGUCCCUGCCUCCAUUCUCUGUGAGUUAGAGGGUCAUUCUGGAAUGCAUGUCUUCUCUUGGGGACCCAAGAUAUGAUUCUGCUUUUGAGACCUGUACUGAACUCUGGAGGAUUCUCACCAACACUUGUAGAGUGAUGAACUAAGGGGUAAAAGAGCCAACUUGGACUCACUCAGAAUCACAGACCUUCAGGUGCCAGGUUGUUCAGAGCAGGACUCCGGACUCAACCCAGUACAGUAAUCUAUGAUGUAGACAAUCUGCUGUUUCUACAACUGCAACUGCUAGUUUGUUUCCUGACAUUUCUCAAACUUGCAUUGGAAGCAGAUGUACACACGUUAUAAAUAAAACUUCCAGAAGAACCAGUCUUUGUGCACAAGGGGCCUUGACACCUGCUGGCCUGAGUUUGGCAUUCUGCAGGCCAUCCAACUGGAGUGUCCCCAGUUGUGUUCUUCUCUAGCCACCUCUGGAGUCUGCAUCCUUGCUUGGCCUCUUAACCUGGUUCAGAUAGUCCAUCCUCUAUGGUUACAGCCAUAACUGUGGCCAGCCUUCCUCAGCUCCAGCCCUGUAGCAUGGAUGCUCAGGACCCUCCUGGAGCCACUACUGCCAAGCCCCGAGUUAAGAGCAGUAGGAUCCACAGGACACCAAGCACACUCUGCUCUGUCCACUCAGGGGUCCUGCAGCCAGCACUACCUUUGCUGACAGCUCUGACAGGACACUGGAACGUUGAAAGGGGAAGUCUAUCAGCUUCUUCAAUGGCCAAUCCAUGGCUUCCCUGUUCAGAGCUGCUGUGUGGGAUCCUUGGUCUCUGCUCAUGUGUGACCUGACUGGACCCUGGUGACCACAUACAUGCCUAUCAGCUGACUGGCUACAUGGCCACACAUGUGGCAAUUCUCAGCAGAUGCACCUGGAAGACUAAGUUGUGGCCUUUGGUAACCUGAAUCCUCUCACCUUGGAGGGGGAAACUAGCUGCCUGCCCUGCACAGAGAAGGAUUCAGAUACUAAGCUAAGACCCACCAUCCCCAGACUAUUGAUGCCUUCCCUGGACUCAGAGGUGACAGUAUGCAUCUAAGGGCUGUCACGGAGGAAAAGGCAGAGGCUAGGAUUCCCAGCCCUGUUCCCACCACUGGAAGAAGCAGUAGGCCCCAGCCUACCCCUCCUCUGAUGUUUGCUGUUUUGUUGUUGUUGUUAAUUCCUCACCAGGUGGAACCAGCACUGUGGGGCUUAAUUAAGCUCAGCCAGCUGUUGCUGAACACGGGAAUGCAGUGCGUGGCAGAGUCAGCCUGGAGCAGUGGAAUGGGGAGGGCUAGGGCCACGGAAUCCCAGGCCUAGAUGGAGCGUGGUCUGAGUUUGGGGCAUAGAAAGCUGGGGCUUCAAAGGGGACUCUGUGGGAAGGUCCAAGGAUGUUCAACUGCUGCUUUCCCUCCCCUCCCCUCCCCCAUGCAUUGAAAGAGCUCAGGUCCUUCAACAGAGAUCCAUCCGCCCUCACAAAGGACAAAAGGAAACUUCAGAGAUGAAAGCCCAGGAGAAGUCUUCAAGAUAUGCUGCUCAAUACUGGGGCAGGAGUUCUGGAACGAGGGGGAGGGAUGGAGGGACAGAAGGAGGGGAGAAGGAAGGGAGAAGAAAAGAGGGAAUUAAGUGUGGUGGAGGGAGGGGUGUAUGUGGUAUUGGGGUGUGUAUGGGAGAGUGCAUACAUGUGGGGUGAGUCAGGGUGGCUGUACAGAGGUUCUCUGCUCACACUAGUGUGGUUAGACAGGUUCUGCUUUCUCCUGGGGUGUUUCACAGAACUUCACUCACAGUUUCCAUGAGACAUUAAUAGACAUUUCAAUAAACUGCUUAAUUGGGAGUGUAAAGCCCUGGAUCAAAGAGGAGCUGACGUGCUGCUGCAGAGCUUCUCCACCCCUCGAAGAUCAUCCUUGCAAAGGAUGGGUACCCGGGUGACCUUUUAUCUGAGGUGUCAGUAAGUUGAACACACACCAGCAAAUGUCUGGGUAGAGGAGUCGGGUGUAGAAAGUGGAUGGAGCUGGGAACUAACAUGAGGGUUCAUUCCUUUAUCUCCGGAGCAAGUAAAGGUACCCAACCCUGAGUGGGACACGGCCAGACAUCUGUCUGUUUACACAACAGUAACAACAACAAAACCAUAUAGACAGGACCAGCAAGGACUAAGAGUGACAGGGACAGUUGCUCACAGGGCACAGGGGCUAAACUGUGUCCCUCCAUUCUAGAAAGCUGUUAGCUAGAGGAGUAACAACCCAUGACAACUGCACUCUGCUUGUCAUUCCUGCAAGGACCUCUAUGAAAGCACGGGAGAAGUGAGUUUUCUUCCGUGGUUGGGUAGGAAGUAGAAGGGUGAACACAAUGUCAUCCUGGGGGUAUACUCCAGUUUUAUAAGUCCCUCAACAAACUGCACCCUGUGGGCACCUAGGCAGGCAGCAUGACCCUGAGGAAAGAGAGGCCCGGAAGGAGAGGAAUCAAGGCUUCAGAUCCUGUAUGUUUGGAUGUAUGAAACUCCACACAGCGUCUCUGGAAAGCCGAGGCAUGUGCCUGGGGCAUGGUUAGCUAGCAUUUUCCCAGGGUUGUGUACAGCAGUCAGCUGACUCCACUUUUGCUCAUUGUUUUUCUGUCUGUCUUCUUUGGGAGCAGAUGAAGAGCAGGUGUCUCCAGAGCCCACACAGAUGUCUUUGUUAUAGCUAAGAGCAGGACUCACCCUGGGUUCCCAACCCCAGCUGAAGACCAUGUGAACCCACUAUUCCCCAGAUGCCUGUGGGGGAGAGAAUGAAGGGCAGGCGAAGGCUCAGCCCCACAGUCCUGGCUCUCAAAGCUUGACUUCAAGCCGUGGGCCUCACCUGAAACCACACCUGAACAGGUGGCUCAGGCCCUGCCCACCAGUGUUGAUUGCCCCCCACCCCAUAUUAAGUCUAUUAUCUCACUCCCAGUUAAUGUACAAGCUCCUUAGAUGAUUGACACACACCUCAUCCAAUGAUCCACAGGUCCAUUUUGACUCCUGCCAAGGAAGUGCACCUGAGACUGAAUUAGUUUAGGGAUGUGCUGCAUGAAGAUGGGGUUUCUUGGCUCCUCAGAUUGGUCUGUGGGUGGAUUUUUCUGACCUUGGGAGCUACGUGCUGACCAGAUGGGAAACAGGAAGGUCCUCAGACGCCUUCCAUAUUUGCUCUCCUUUGUUUCUUGGUAUUUUUUUUAAUGGGUCUUUACUGCUGGGAUUGAAUCCAGGGUCUUGUGCAUGCUAGACAAGCAAUCCAGCACUGAGCUAUGGCCAGCCUAUCCAGACUUGCUCUGGUUGAGUCACUGCCUUUAGGAAGAUGCCCAAAUUGUGGUCAUUUUUGUGGGGUGGCCCUGCAGGGAAUAGCAUCUUUGCUGAGGUCAGAGGGUAGAAAGCUAGUGUUCUGCCAAAAUGCUGUGACACAGUCACUGGGAGCUUUGACAGACAGGUUGACACCAGCUGAGAAAGAGAAGCCAGAAGGCCAGGAUGCCUGGAGUAAACACAGCCCCAUCUACCAGUCCCAAAGCUGAGGCCUCAGAUUCCCCUGCUCCUGCCCAGCACCUGUGGGGCUGAAGUGGAGGCCCAAGCUCAGAACAUCCCAGGCAGGCCUCAUGACAGUGUGUAUGUUUCUGAGAAAUUCUCAUUUGGGGAGAGCAGAACUUAGUCUGCAUAGAUUGGGGAUCCCCUGGUGGGCAGGAAAGGGCAGCCAGAGGCACUUGGGGGGUGGAUCCCACAGUGCUGGCCCUGCCCAAGCUCCAGGAAGGGACUUCUACUCAGAAACAGCCAAGGACUAUGCAAAACUCCCCACCACAACUUGUUUAUAGUUUGAUUCAACUAUUUUUCAUUUAACUCUAUUUCCAAAGCUCUCCCUUUGAGUUUCUUGAUCUGAGUCUCCUUUCCUUUGGGGCAGAAGGCCUGGCCACAGUGGCCACCAGAUGGAUCUGUCAAGGUCUGUGGUGACACCAGAAUCUCCAGGAACCCUCAAAGGUAGUGGGAUUCUGCACCUGGGGGCCUGGAGCCUGGUGAUGCGCCACUAGCCCAGCCACACCUGUAGCUACUCCACCCACUCAUCCCCCACCUUGUGCCAACACAGGCCUGCUAGCCCCCCAAUAACAUCUGACCACAUCACUCUUCCAAGAGGUCAUCCAGAUCCCCACCUCCAUCUGGCCGUUAUUCUGACGAAAGAGGAGCUGAUCUCUGACAAAAGGAACUAGGGAUGGCUUUGCCCAUUACCGACUCAGCUGGCCUGGGCUACAUUCCCCAGUCCCCUUCACCAUCAGUUUGGGGGUUGGGCCAUGUGGGAAAGUUCUACGGAGCUAGAGGGAGGUGGUCUUCUACAGCCCCUGUCUGCUGUGCCACUAUGGCACCUUUGUGCCUUUUUGGCUUCUCAGAGUCAGGUUACCACCCUCAUGAGGUCACAGGCACAACUAUGAGGUACCUUCCAUCUGUGCUUUGGGGCAGCCCUCGCUUCAUAGAUGUCUCUUUCAUGCCCUUGGAAGCAUCUCCAGCAUGGACUACAGAGCAGGACCUGGAUACACAAGACCGGAACAGUGCCUGCCACAAGCCCAUGAGCAGUGUUACAGUCUGGAUGUGAAGUGUACUCCAGAAGACCCCUGUGUGGUAGGCUUGCCGUCUAAUCCAGCAACAUUUAGAGCAGGAACCUCUGGGAGGUAACUGGGCCACCCAGGCUGAUGGUAUUAGCAGGCAGCAUGGGAAGGUAGGAGAUAGGACCUGGAUGGAAGAAGUGGGGAACAGGAGGCCUUUGGAGGAUAUAUCUUUUCCUCCACUGCUUCCUCUCUGUCUCCCUCUGCCUCUUGCAUGCCAUGGAGUGAGCAGCUUUGCUCUGCCACAUGGUCCUGCCAGGAUACUAUCUCACCUCAGGCCCAUGGGAGUAUAGCUGGCUGACCACAGUCUGGAGCCUCAGAAACCAGGAGCCAAAAUAAACCUUUUUAAUUUUAAAGUUCUUAAUGCAUUUAUUUAUUGUGUUCGUGUGUACCCAUGCAUGCCAUGGCG
ensembl:lncRNA